GAUGAACGCUAGCGACAGGCUUAACACAUGCAAGUCGAGGGGCAGCAUAAAAGUAGCAAUACUUUGGUGGCGACCGGCGCACGGGUGAGUAACGCGUAUGCAACCUACCUAUCAGAGGGGAAUAACCCGGCGAAAGUCGGACUAAUACCGCAUAAAACAGGGGCACCGCAUGGUGAUAUUUGUUAAAGAAAUUCGCUGAUAGAUGGGCAUGCGUUCCAUUAGGUAGUUGGUGAGGUAACGGCUCACCAAGCCGACGAUGGAUAGGGGAACUGAGAGGUUGUUCCCCCACACUGGUGAUGAGACACGGACCAGACUCCUACGGGAGGCAGCAGUGAGUAAUAUUGGUCAAUGGGCGGGAGCCUGAACCAGCCACGUCGCGUGAAUGAAGAAGGAUCUAUGGUUCGUAAACUUCUUUUGCAGGGGAAUAAAGUGCAGGACGUGUCCUGUUUUGUAUGUACCCUGAGAAUAAGGAUCGGCUAACUCCGUGCCAGCCGCCACAGUAAAAC
rnacentral:rRNA from 1 species